rnacentral:rRNA from 1 species
GACGGAGGAUGCGAGCGUUAUCCGGAAUUAUUGGGCGUAAAGCGUCCGCAGGUGGCUUUUCAAGUCUGUUGUCAAAGCGCGGGGCUUAACUCCGUACAGGCAAUGGAAACUGUGAAGCUAGAGUAUGGUAGGGGUAGAGGGAAUUCCCGGUGUAGCGGUGAAAUGCGUAGAUAUCGGGAAGAACACCAGUGGCGAAAGCGCUCUGCUGGACCAUAACUGACACUGAGGGACGAAAGCUAGGGGAGCGAAAGGG